rnacentral:rRNA from 1 species
UACGAAGGGGGGCUAGCGUUGCUCGGAAUCACUGGGCGUAAAGCGCACGUAGGCGGAUCCUUAAGUCGGGGGUGAAAUCCUGGAGCUCAACUCCAGAACUGCCUUCGAUACUGAGGAUCUUGAGUCCGGGAGAGGUGAGUGGAACUGCGAGUGUAGAGGUGAAAUUCGUAGAUAUUCGCAAGAACACCAGUGGCGAAGGCGGCUCACUGGCCCGGUACUGACGCUGAGGCACGAAAGCGUGGGGAGCAAACAGG